rnacentral:misc_RNA from 1 species
CUAUUGCAAAUUGUAGGCCAUUUGUAAUAAUCAGCUAAAGCAUAAUGAUAAUUUUUUAUUAGAAGUUUCUUAAAAUGGAAGGGAGAUGCGGACAUUUGACUGUUUCAACUCUCAUAUGACAAGGCGGUCACUUUAUCACAGAGCUACAAGUCCAAUAACUAAAUUUGUAAUUUUUUUUAUGCUAAUGGUAUUCUAGGUGUUGAAACUAGAUUCAUAAUUCCCGGUUUAUUUAUUGUGUAAGCUUGUAUACAUUUUCGCUUGUAU